GAAUGCUGACAUAAGUAACGAUAAAGCGGGUGAAAAGCCCGCUCGCCGGAAGACCAAGGGUUCCUGUCCAACGUUAAUCGGGGCAGGGUGAGUCGACCCCUAAGGCGAGGCCGAAAGGCGUAGUCGAUGGGAAACGGGUUAAUAUUCCCGUACUUGGUGUUACUGCGAAGGGGGGACGGAGAAGGCUAUGUUGGCCGGGCGACGGUUGUCCCGGUUUAAGCGUGUAGGUGUGUGUUCCAGGUAAAUCCGGUUCACUUUAACACUGAGGCGUGACGACGAGGCACUACGGUGCUGAAGCAACAAAUGCCCUGCUUCCAGGAAAAGCCUCUAAGCAUCAGGUAACAUCAAAUCGUACCCCAAACCGACACAGGUGGUCAGGUAGAGAAUACCAAGGCGCUUGAGAGAACUCGGGUGAAGGAACUAGGCAAAAUGGUGCCGUAACUUCGGGAGAAGGCACGCUGACACGUAGGUGAAGUGAUUUACUCAUGGAGCUGAAGUCAGUCGAAGAUACCAGCUGGCUGCAACUGUUUAUUAAAAACACAGCACUGUGCAAACACGAAAGUGGACGUAUACGGUGUGACGCCUGCCCGGUGCCGGAAGGUUAAUUGAUGGGGUCAGCGCAAGCGAAGCUCCUGAUCGAAGCCCCGGUAAACGGCGGCCGUAACUAUAACGGUCCUAAGGUAGCGAAAUUCCUUGUCGGGUAAGUUCCGACCUGCACGAAUGGCGUAAUGAUGGCCAGGCUGUCUCCACCCGAGACUCAGUGAAAUUGAACUCGCUGUGAAGAUGCAGUGUACCCGCGGCAAGACGGAAAGACCCCGUGAACCUUUACUAUAGCUUGACACUGAACAUUGAGCCUUGAUGUGUAGGAUAGGUGGGAGGCUUUGAAGUGUGGACGCCAGUCUGCAUGGAGCCGACCUUGAAAUACCACCCUUUAAUGUUUGAUGUUCUAACGUGGACCCGUUACCCGGGUUGCGGACAGUGUCUGGUGGGUAGUUUGACUGGGGCGGUCUCCUCCUAAAGAGUAACGGAGGAGCACGAAGGUUGGCUAAUCCUGGUCGGACAUCAGGAGGUUAGUGCAAUGGCAUAAGCCAGCUUGACUGCGAGCGUGACGGCGCGAGCAGG
rnacentral:rRNA from 1 species